rnacentral:lncRNA from 1 species
GUCGCCAUUGAUUCCAAGAUUCAUGAUAUCUUUAAGGGUAGCCUUUCCAUUGAGAUACUGACUCAACAAGUUACAAGUCUGCAUGUAACCACUUUUGCAAUCUGAAGAAAGUUGCAAAUUUGACAUGUUUAUACACUGCUAAAUUAUAUAUUCUACUUAAUUAUACAAUUCUCUCUUUAGCUUGAGGGAAAAUGAUUUAAGUUUUGAAGAGGGAAAUAUAUCUUGAUCAAUGGACAACGGUAGGUAGGUAUAGUUUUACAUACGGAGCUCAGGUUUUUGUUGUGCCAGUAAAAG